UGGCCUCCGGCAGUGAGCACACCCCAUCCCCCGACGUGAGCCCGGCGCCCGCUGCGCCGCCACCCCAAUCCCGCGCGAGCUGGCGCCGCCCCCACCCGCUCCUCUUUUCCCCACCUGGCCCUUUUUCUUUUCUGGUGGAGGAGAUGCCGGCGCCCCGUCCCGGGUGCGAGCUGACUCCCCGGAUCUGGGCGGGCGAGAGGCUUCUCCCUCCCCGGGCCCGGGUGGUGAGCGCAGGAGGGAGGACCAGAAGCGGGCUCUGCCUGGGCUUGCCUGGGCUUGUCAGAGCCGGCCUCCUUCCCACAGUGACCGCGCAGAUCUGGGGGGAUUUCGAGAUGUUGCGGGAGUCUUGCAGCCAAGCCCCGGGAAGGAGGGGGCUGGAAGCCCGCGCGACCUGCUCGUCCGGUCCUGGGUGAGCGCAGAGUCGCUAGGAGGAUGGUGUGAGACGCCUCAUUUGUUCACAGAUACUCCUGGAUCCACCCCAUGUUCAAGGUUCUGCAACAGUGGGCCAGACAGACCACUGCUGCCCUCCUGGACUUUCCAGUCCAGUCACGACAACGGAAGGCCCGUGGAGCCAGGCGUGGGCUGGAGUGGGGCCGGUGGAAUGCCUGGAAUGCCAGCUGCAGUGACAGACCAACGCUCAGAUCCCUCAGGGGAGUUUCGGCCAAGGCAGCACUUGGGAUGGCUUCUGAGCCGAAGUCUUUGCAUUUUUCCCAAUUUUAGGCAGAAGUAAAGAAUGCCGGCCUUCUUCCAACCACCAGCUGAUUCAGGGUCUUGAACUUUUACAUUAAAGGGACUACACUCUUGGAGUAGGACCUAACAGGCCCCUUUAUUGGAGUUCAGGUAAAAGCAUUUUGAGUAACCCCUUUUCCCCUCUAGCUUUGCUGUUGGUUACUCCAAUGAGAAACGAGGAAAAGGUCCUUCUCAGAUAGAGUUCACCUGUAGAAGUUCCUGGAUAAUAAGGAAGGAAGCAGAAACGGCACCAUCUCUGCUUCAGUUCAGGUCUUUGAUAAAACUGAUGUCUUUGUGGCAGUUUACUUCUGCAGUCUUCAGAGCAGAUAUAUAGGAUAUAUUCUGUCGUCCUUCUACCUGACAGUAGUAGAAGAAAUGUCCUCGGGUGUCUAUCCGGCUCUUUAUCUUCCCAGCACUCCUGUGGAGACGGGAGGAGCAGCACUGGCUCCAUGGGAGUGAGUUUAGAAUGGAUUGGGACAAAGAGGGGCUAUUUCUUUCUUUCUCUCAAUCUCUCUCUCUCACUCAGACACAGGCACACACACGCCCACUGGCCAUGAAUUUGUGGAGUUCGAGGUCCAGUAAGUUGAGGACAUCCGUCCAGACCCUUGGCAGAGUGCACUUCUGCUUUGGGAACUUCCGGGCAGAUUUUAGUCAGUAGUUGGUGGGUGGGAGAGAGGGAUGGAGAAUUUCGCGGUGGGACUUGAGUUUGGAGGCAGGUGGAAUUAGGUGCAAAUUUGAUGUUUUGGGGGAAAUUAUUUGAUCUUCUUGACUGCAAGGCAAAGUGGGAUUUAAAAUAUAUAUUUGCUUUAAAUAUAUAUACACAUAUAUUUAAUAAGCUCUGCAGAUUGCAUUAAUAUCAAUUUCCUGGUUUUGAUCAUUGUUCGGUAGUUACACGAGAUGUUACCUCUGGGAGAAAGUGAGUGAAGGGUCCACAGGAUCCUCUCUGUACAUUUUUCUUUUUUGUAAUUUCCUGUAAAUCUAUGAUUAUUUCAAAAUAAAAAAUUAAAACAUAUAUAUUUAUAUUUGACU
rnacentral:lncRNA from 1 species